CAACGAUAUUAUUUUGUGUUUACAUUCUUCGAAGCUAAACAAAUAGUUGCGUGAAUUUUAGUUCUUAUUAAUCUAUAUUAAUUCUAAAUAGUUUGUACAAAAAGAAGUUGACUUAACAAGAAAUGAAUCCAGAUGACUUUUGAGAGGAAAUUCGCGGCGCUAGAUCCUUUUAAUGAUGCCGUUGACAGUCAAGAUCUUAGGCGUGAGUGGGAGGAAUGGCACAGAGCCUUUGAGCUAAUGCUAGAGCUGUGCAAUGCCGAUUCCCAGCAUGAGAAGCUUGUGUUGUUGUUAGCUAAUGGAGGAAGAGGGUUGCAGCGAAUAUUUUAUAAUUUACGUCCAACGCCGGACGAGGUUUACCCGAGCCCAGUGAAAGUUCCACUGAUGCCAAUUGAAGUGCCGGAGUACGAUAACGCUAUAAAGCGGUUGAAUCGAUUUUUUAUUGGAAAAGGAAUGAGAGGAUCGAACUGGAAGUCUUCCGAUCUAUAAAACAAUCGACCGACGAGACCAUGAAUCAAUUUCUCCUGAGGCUACGGGCACAGGCGGCACGGUGUGACUUUCUCGAACGUGAAGAGAAGGAAAUGAUGCAUCAAAUAACGGUGGGCGCCCGUGAUGAAAGAGUUCGCGAUAAAGGGCUUGAAGAUGUAAUGCAACUCGAUGAGCUGAUUAAUUACGCCAUCAACAGAGAAAUUUUGUCAAACAAAAAGGAAAAUCGAAACCGUUCACUGAAGAUCCCCCGGUGGCAUUGACAGUAAACCAGGUUCAAAGCAAGAGGAAGUUACCUGAUGAGAAUGGCAGAAACUACGGAGCGAAUGGCAGAAGUCAACGGAUGACGAACAGAGGUGGACGAGUGGAAUGUUCUCGGUGCGGGUCAUCCAAUCAUACAUCGGUUUCGACAAAUUGCUAUGCACGAAACGCCCGGUGCAACGGUUGUGGUAAACUAGGCCAUUUCGUUAGAAUGUGUAGGAACACCAGAACAUCGAAUUCUCGAAUGGAUGACCCUCGCUAUAAACGCCGUCGACCGAAUGCUGAAGCAAAUACUGUUCAGCCAAAUGGUGAUUUGAAGGAGGAACUACCAGAACAAACUACUGUAAACCGGGACCAAAAGGUUGACGCAGUUGUUCAGAAUAACGGAAUAAUAACAUGCUUGAUCGACAAGCUUCCUGUAUCGUUUUUGAUUGAUUCUGGAUCAGCAAUCAACACUGUUACUGAGGAAGUCUGGGACACUCUUAUUAACAGUGGGGCAACUCUGUAUAAGCGUAAAUUCCAAUGCAACCGAACAUUCACAGCGUAUGCAACUCAACGACCGCUACGAGUACGCGCAAUGUUCGAAGCCUGGAUCUCGGUGAAUGACAGUAAACCAAAAUGUUAUGCGGAGUUUUUCGUAAUCGAAGAGGCGAAUAAAUCACUUUUGAGCAAAGCUACUGCCGAGUACCUCAAAAUUUUGAAAAUUGGGAUAGAUGUGAACAAUAUAAACGUAAGCACUGAUCAUUUUCCGAAGUUUCCGAACAUCCAAAUCAAACUAUCGAUCGAUAAGUCAGUCGCUCCACGGAAACUCGCGUAUUUGAAAAUUCCAGAAGCAAUGAAGGAAAAAGUGGAUAAUAAACUUACGGAAAUGUUACGAGCGGACGUGAUCGAGCCAGCCGAGGGCCGGCUGAAUGGAUUUCCCCUAUGGUUGUCGUUCCGAAGGGUAAGAACGACAUUCGGCUAUGUAUCAAUAUGAAGCAUCACAAUAAAGCCAUCCAACGCGAACAUUUCCCGCUUCCCGUCAUUGAAACAUUUUUAAAUAAGCUUCGAGGUGCAACAUACUUUUCCAAACUGGAUAUAACAUCGGCGUAUCAUCACGUAGAGUUACAUCCUAAGUCCAAGUUGCUCCUGCAACACAAUCGCCAUCAUGCUCAUCACCAUCGAGGGACACACAUGAAUUGCCGAUACCUGUAUCUGCGAAAAGGAAGAUUUCAAGUGAGUUGCAAAGUGAUCAGGAACAACUUGAGGUGAGGCGUCCUACUAGAAGCCGGAAGUUACCUCGUCGAUACGUACAAGUAAUAAAUGAAGGAGAUUUUGAUAUUUUAGAGUAGAAGAAGGAUGUAGAGUAGAGUGUGAGGGUAAAACAUAAGUAAGAUGGACCUUUUGAACUAAGAGUGUUACAACAAGGAGAGUUGUAGAGAUUGAGGAAGUAUGGUAGCUGGAUGAGGGAGAACGGUGGAGAGUUAGGCGUAAGUAACGGGAUGCAAAGGGUCUCAGGUGUACACCCGGAAGCGUGAUAUUUGUGAAUAAAUAAAAUAACUAACGAGUUCAAAUAGGUGUUGCUUAUUCCUGGUGGCACGGUGGUUUCCAUGAAGAAGAGCACUUUGAACAGCUGCACCAGGAGCCAAUGCCGGAAUCGAGGGUAUUCCUUAUGACCGCCAAUCGUCUUCGGCUGUCUGGUGCACUACCAGCAGCUGCCCCUGGGAUCAACCGACACCGUCUUCGACUUCUCAAUCUUUGGAACACCAGCUGUGUUCCGUGCCAAAGGUUCGCUGAAGACGACACUGUUGUUUGCUGUUAAACGUUUCAAUCGUCGGGCUGAAAGAGACAUAAAUUAACGAAUAUUUAAUAAAAAUAAUGGUAAUUAAAGCAAGAACUAUUACCUCUUCGACCAUCAGCAUCUUGGCUUGUUUGUUCAUAAAUUUUAACUUGAUUUUCACUCUUUAAUGAGUAAAAACAUGGAACUUGAAAAUGGGUUCAAAAUACACAUUAUGAA